GGUUUUUUCAUCAUGAACAUUUUAGUGUGCUUCUUAGAAAAGAGCACGCAGUUUCUUUAUGGAAUUUCUGUGGUCCUGUCACGGAGAUUCUUGUGCCAACGCUGAUCUUUGUCCAUGACGGAAGAGGGCCUUCCACAAACGUCCAUCCCUAUCUUCGCGACGCACGCUCAUCUAGCUUCACUGCUUCUAAACACAAUUUGGUUUACUUCACUGGCGACUUGGCGAGUUUCUGGACCACUUCAGUGAUCGCUUCCGUCCGCUGUUACGCACCUGCAGUCACUCACCACGGGAUUAUGCCCAGGUAAUGCAGAGGAGACGUCGAGAAGAUGGAUUUUCUCAUCUUUGACAAUCGUCACCGGUCUCCGUCGGAUGUUGCCCCUGCUCCUGGUGAGAACGAAACUCGGUGGAAUCGCGACCGACACCGAGACUCGUCAUCAACGUGGAUCAUCGUAUUGUUGGUAUUAUUGCGUUUGUGUUAGUUAACCCGUUGGCUGCCACACCUUUGUUCUCCACUGCACGGGCCGCGCUGUUCGGUCUCGUGGUUUAAAAGCUGCGGGGUCGGGGAGUCGCCAAGCCCAAACUUUGCCGCAAGGCAAGCCUGUUAAAAGGCAAUGCACCUUAGUCCUCCCCUUGUCAGCACGGACUUGUCAGCAAUGGCAAGUCCCACUUGGUCAUGGAUCCUUCAGACGUGGCACGUAGAGUAGUAGAGAGCAACCUACGGGUUGUAUGGCGUGGCAGCCA